rnacentral:rRNA from 1 species
GAUGAACGCUGGCGGCGUGUCUAAUACAUGCAAGUCGAGCGAACGGACGAGAAGCUUGCUUCUCUGAUGUUAGCGGCGGACGGGUGAGUAACACGUGGAUAACCUACCUAUAAGACUGGGAUAACUUCGGGAAACCGGAGCUAAUACCGGAUAAUAUUUUGAACCGCAUGGUUCAAAAGUGAAAGACGGUCUUGCUGUCACUUAUAGAUGGAUCCGCGCUGCAUUAUCUAGUUGGUAAGGUAACGGCUUACCAAGGCAACGAUGCAUAGCCGACCUGAGAGGGUGAUCGGCCACACUGGAACUGAGACACGGUCCAGACUCCUACGGGAGGCAGCAGUAGGGAAUCUUCCGCAAUGGGCGAAAGCCUGACGGAGCAACGCCGCGUGAGUGAUGAAGGUCUUCGGAUCGUAAAACUCUGUUAUUAGGGAAGAACAUAUGUGUAAGUAACUGUGCACAUCUUGACGGUACCUAAUCAGAAAGCCACGGCUAACUACGUG